rnacentral:misc_RNA from 1 species
GAUGAAGAACGCAGCGAAAUGCGAUAAGUAAUGUGAAUUGCAGAAUUCAGUGAAUCAUCGAAUCUUUGAACGCACAUUGCGCCCGGCAGCAAUCUGCCGGGCAUGCCUGUCCGAGCGUCAUUUCUUCCCUCGAGCGCGGCUAGCCCUACGGGGCCUGCCGUCGCCCGGUGUUGGGGCUCUACGGGUGGGGCUCGUCCCCCCCGCAGUCCCCGAAAUGUAGUGGCGGUCCAGCCGCGGCGCCCCCUGCGUAGUAGAUCCUACAUCUCGCAUCGGGUCCCGGCGAAGGCCAGCCGUCGAACCUUUUAUUUCAUGGUUUGACCUCGGAUCAGGUAGGGUUACCCGCUGAACUUAAGCAUAUCAAUAAGCGGAGGA